rnacentral:rRNA from 1 species
AGGAUGAAUGCUGGCGGCGCGCCUAACACAUGCAAGUCGAGCGGAAAGGCCCUUCGGGGUACUCGAGCGGCGGACGGCUGAGUAACGCGUGGGAACAUGCCCCAAAGUGAGGAAUAACUGCCCGAAAGGGUAGCUAAUGCCGCAUAUGAUCUUCGGAUUAAAGGAUUUAUCCGCUUUGGGAGUGGCCCGCGUACGAUUAGGUAGUUGGUGAGGUAAAGGCUCACCAAGCCCACGAUCGUUAACUGGUCUGAGAGGAUGAUCAGUCAGACUGGAACUGAGACACGGUCCAGACUCCUACGGGAGGCAGCAGUGAGGAAUCUUCCACAAUGGGC